UACGUAGGGUGCGAGCGUUAAUCGGAAUUACUGGGCGUAAAGCGCGCGCAGGCGGUCUUCCAAGUCAGUGGUGAAAGCCCGGAGCUCAACUCCGGAAUUGCCAUUGAAACUGUGAGACUGGAGUACGAGAGAGGUGAGUGGAAUUCCCAGUGUAGAGGUGAAAUUCGUAGAUAUUGGGAAGAACACCGGUGGCGAAGGCGGCUCACUGGCUCGUAACUGACGCUCAGGCGCGACAGCGUGGGGAUCAAACAGG
rnacentral:rRNA from 1 species